UAAGGAGAAAUAUGAUUAUUGGAGUAAAAGAGGAUUUGAGUUGCAGAUGGGAGUAUUGUCAAAUGCAUGACAUGAUGAGAGAAGUAUGUUUAUCUAAAGCCAAAGAAGAGAACUUUCUUCAGUUUAUCAAAGUCCCUACUACUUCCACCUCCACCAUCAAUGCUCAUACUCCUACCAGAUCUCGCAGACUCGUAGUACACGGUGGUGGUAAUGCAUUUGAUAUGCUGGAACGUAAAAACAAUCAAAAAGCUAGAUCUGUUUUGGGUUUUGGACUCGACAGCAACUUGUGGAAGCAGUCAGGUCAAGGAUUCCAAAAUUUACUGUUACUUAGGGUCUUAGAUUUGAGUUUAGAUUAUAAAAUAGACUCUAAAGGGUGGAGAAUACCUUCGAGCAUUGGAAAACUCAUUCAUUUGAGAUAUUUGAGAUUAGAGAUGGGUCAUGCAACUCAUGUACCUUCUUCUUUACGGAAUCUAAAGCUUCUAAUCUAUUUGAGAAUUUACUCCUGGAAAAGAGUUCAUCUGCCAAGUAUCUUUAAAGAGAUGGUAGAGUUGAGGUUCCCUAUCUACAUUUUUUUUUAAUUUUUAAAACUUUAGUUAUUGUUUUCCAUUUGUUCCUCAUCAAGAUUAGAGGAGAAAAUAUUUGUUAAAGAAUUCCCACGAUUAUGAGGAAAACAAAUGAAUAUAAUGAAACCUAUGUAUUAACAAUUUGACAAAACAUUCAACUCAAUUGGUAACAAUUUGAAGAAAUAAAAAAUUCAUCAUUUUUUUUUCUAAAAUGGUGUCACCAAUUGAAACCCUAGUGUUUGCAGUUGCAGGCGGUUGCAGGAGGCUAGGGUAAUUUUUUUUUUUUUUAACAAUAUAAAUACAAAAAUACAAAUAAAAAUUUAAAUUUAAAUUGAAAUACUAAAAUAUAUCUAUUAUAUCUAAAUUUAUAUUAUGAAUUUUUAAAAUAAAAAUAUUUUCAAUAAUUUUUAAAUUUUAAAACUAUAUAUUUCUAAUAUAAUUUUUAUAUUUAUUAUAACAUUAUGAUGUUUAAUAUUUUUAUAAUUAUAGAAAAUAUAAAUAUUGUUAAUUUAUUAUUUAACCGUUGUAUAUUUGGUUGUUAAUCUGUCAUACGCAUCCCGCAAACGAGCCGAUUUUUAACCACAGUAUCAGUCAUACAAAUUUCUUAAAACCGCUUAAAAUUACAAUCAACCGCAUCCGCGAAAUCUCGCAACCACAACCGCGAAUCUCGCAGCCACAACCACUACGGUUACACCAGUCAUGUCCUAAGUAAACUAUAAAAAGGGCCAUCAUAAAAACUAACAAUUCUCCGGAUAGUUAUUAAGUUAGACAAUAUAUAUAGAUUCCUCUUAACUAAUAAAAUUAAUUAUUUAUUAAUAAUAUCAACGACUUUAACCGAUUUUAACAUUUAAGGUGAGAGCUAAUAAAAAAUACUAAAUCAUUAAUAAUAUAAAUUUAUUAUUUUGAACAUUUAAAAGGACUAGACACAUAUUAUUUAGGCUCUAAUCUCAUAGUACUGUUUUCAGAAUUUAUUGUUGAUGAAGAACUAGAAGCCAUGGGAAGGAAAAUGGUCAAAUAUUGUGGAGGACUACCAUUAGCUGUUAAAGUGUUGGGAGGUUUGUUAGCUAAUAAAAUCAUGGUUGAAGAGUGGAAAAGAGUAGAUGACAAUAUUAAAACUCAGAUAGUUCGCAGAGAUGACAAAAAUCAAGAUUCGGUUUACCGAGUAUUGUCUAUGAGCUAUGAAGAUUUGCCAAUGCAGUUGAAGAAUUGCUUCCUCUACCUAGCUCAUUUUCCAGAAGAUUACAAGAUAGAAGCAGAGCAAUUGUAUUAUUACUGGGAAGCAGAAGGAAUAAUAACGUCAAGUGUCGAUGGAGAAACCACUAGGAAAAUUGGAGAAGACUACAUAGACGAGCUAGUAAGGAGAAAUAUGAUUAUUGGAGUAAAAGAGGAUUUGAGUUGCAGAUGGGAGUAUUGUCAAAUGCAUGACAUGAUGAGAGAAGUAUGUUUAUCUAAAGCCAAAGAAGAGAACUUUCUUCAGUUUAUCAAAGUCCCUACUACUUCCACCUCCACCAUCAAUGCUCAUACUCCUACCAGAUCUCGCAGACUCGUAGUACACGGUGGUGGUAAUGCAUUUGAUAUGCUGGAACGUAAAAACAAUCAAAAAGCUAGAUCUGUUUUGGGUUUUGGACUCGACAGCAACUUGUGGAAGCAGU
rnacentral:lncRNA from 1 species